GGAUCCAGACUUUGAUUAUGGCUCAGGAUGAACGCUAGCUACAGGCUUAACACAUGCAAGUCGAGGGGCAGCGAUGAAGAAAGCUUGCUUUCUUCAGGCGGCGACCGGCGCACGGGUGAGUAACGCGUAUCGAACCUGCCUCAUACUCAGGAAUAGCCUUGCGAAAGUAAGAUUAAUGCCCGAUGUUAUUAGGAUAUCACAUGAUGUUUUAAUUAAAGAUUUAUCGGUAUGAGAUGGCGAUGCGUCCCAUUAGCUUGUUGGCGGGGUAACGGCCCACCAAGGCAUCGAUGGGUAGGGGUUCUGAGAGGAAGGUCCCCCACAUUGGAACUGAGACACGGUCCAAACUCCUACGGGAGGCAGCAGUGAGGAAUAUUGGUCAAUGGACGCAAGUCUGAACCAGCCAAGUAGCGUGCAGGAAGACGGCCCUCUGGGUUGUAAACUGCUUUUAGUUGGGAAUAAAGUGCACCACGUGUGGUGUUUUGUAUGUACCAUCAGAAAAAGGACCGGCUAAUUCCGUGCCAGCAGCCGCGGUAAUACGGAAGGUCCAGGCGUUAUCCGGAUUUAUUGGGUUUAAAGGGAGCGCAGGCGGACCUUUAAGUCAGCUGUGAAAUACGGCGGCUCAACCGUCGAACUGCAGUUGAUACUGGAGGUCUUGAGUGCACACAGGGAUACUGGAAUUCAUGGUGUAGCGGUGAAAUGCUCAGAUAUCAUGAAGAACUCCGAUCGCGAAGGCAGGUAUCCGGGGUGCAACUGACGCUGAGGCUCGAAAGUGCGGGUAUCAAACAGGAUUAGAUACCCUGGUAGUCCGCACAGUAAACGAUGAAUACUCGCGAUUUGCGAUACACAGUAAGUCGCCAAGCGAAAGCGUUAAGUAUUCCACCUGGGGAGUACGCCGGCAACGGUGCAACUCAAAGGAAUUGACGG
rnacentral:rRNA from 2 species